CUUUGCUGCCCCAUAUUGGCUGGACUCUGAGUAUGACAUCUCUCCUAUGUGCAGAAGUCUGGUUGCCACUGGGAGUAGGUGGGACCAGGGAAAUCUCUGGGACGUGAGUGUGGAGGCCUGUUGGUCUAGACUCUAGACUGUGGAGCUCUGAGCUUUUGUGUCCUCUGGAAGGAAGCUGGGGAAGAAUCCUCUCCAUUGUUAAGUGACGGGGAUAGAAGCUGUCCUGCACAGGAAGUCACGAGGGGGGCGUAUCCCACGAGGAAGGCAGGAGGGGGCGUGCCCCUCACCGGAAAUUAGCAGAGGGGCGUGUCCCACACCGGAAGUCAGAAAGCGGAGCCUUUCUUACACCGGAAGUCAAUGAAGCGGGUCUUUCCUACGCUAAAAACCACUGAGUGGAGUAUUUAGUACACAGGAAGUCGGCCAGAGAAACAUUUCUCAUAUUUGAAGGCCGGAAAGAGGGACAUUUCUGACACCGGAAGUCAGUGAGAGGACUCUUUCCCACACAGGAAGUCAGCUAGAGAGCCGUCUCCCCUCUCUGGAGCCGAGAGAGGCCGGUUUCCCCCACCAUAGCAGGGCUGGGAGAAAGGGAUGGGGAGAGUCCCUCCUGCCACUGACCCAGGAUGGAUAAAAGUACCCCUUUCAUAGAAGGAAGAAAAUGGGAACAAAGGUGCUGCUGAUCAUCUGAGGUUGCCUGCAUGGCAGUGAAGAACAUGGACCUUUGGGUAGCCCACCUGGGAGGAAUUUUCCAGAGAUCACUGUCUGAUGACCCUGUCUUGGAAUUGGAGCCAUGCAAGUUACACUGACCACGUUUGGGUUGGGAUAUUGAGGAGGUUAUGGUUAAAAGCAUACGAUGGGAGAUCAUAUUGUACUUGCGAGUGAGACCCGGCUGGAGGAAUGUUUUAAUUCUUCGGAAAUACCAAGUGGUCUCUAGAUGGGUUUUCACUAUUUUUCCCAGGCUAGUCUCCAACUUCUGGGCUCAAGCGAUCCACCCGCCUUGGCCUCCUAAGUCCUAGGAUUAUAGGUAUGAGCCACUGCGCCUGGCCUUUUUGCCUUUUGAAAGUAUCUGUUGUUAACAAUAUUCAAUUGGGUUGAAUCUUGCUAGGGACCAAGGUGAAUUUGCAUAAAUUAGUCUAUGCCAAUUUGCAUACUAUCAGCAAAUUUGUAGUGUACAGAAUUUUGGAAAUAGAAGGAAGCUAAGAGGGGUGUCAAAUGCAGCUUCUUCUUUUUUUACCUGAAAAGAUACCAAAGUCCAGCUCAGGGAAGGUCACACAGCUAAUUCUUAUCAUGGGGAGACAGACCCAGGGACAUCAUGGUGCCUCCGAGAUUAGUACGGCCCCUCAAACAUCCCCAUUUUCUGUCCCUAGCCCAUUGGAACCCCUUAAAGUUGGUCCCUCGAGCUCGGGUGAUAGCACACAUGAUGGAAAGUAGGCAGGCUUGCCAUUGAAGCUCCAACCUAGCUCUGCACCACAUCAGCUGUGUGACCUUGAGCAAAUCACUUAACCACUCUGAGCAUGGCAUUUGUAAAUGUCAAGGUAGCAACGCCCUCUUUACUGCCCUGUUGUGACAAAUAAGAUAUAUUCCAUAAAUAUGAUCCAUGUAGUAUUAAACUACCAUUUACUGAGUCUCCCCUAUGGAAAGCACUUAGUAGGUGCUCAAAAACUCCUAGUCCUUUCUUCCCCUCUUUCAAUGUGUCACUGCAUCUGGGUAAUUUAUACCCAUUUCCUGUUUUCCUUUGAGAAGUGCAUGUCAUGCUCUGCACAAAAGUGACUCUUAAUGGUGGCAUUUCAAGCAUCAUGGCAGAGUGCUGAGACGCUGAUGAAGAUAUUUUAGGCUGGGGUGCAUGGGGAGCACUCUCAGGGCCUCUCAUGCGCAUCCUGAGCCCUUCCUGUGAACCAGACUGACCCUGGCUUCUGUGCCAUUUUCAUUCCAGCCAAGAAUGUUCUGAAAUGAAGCCAAUAUCUGAAGGAUCUAGGAUGCCUGUUCCCCUCUCUUAUGCUGUCUCGGGGGAUGAUUUAGCCACCAAGAAUUUUCCUUAUGGUUGCAAGAUGAUUAAAAAAAACCACACACUCAGAUGCUUUUCGGAGGUUGACAUUUUUCACAGCCCCUCUUCCUCCUCCAUAGAUUUCCUGGAGGUUCCAUCCAGCUCUGGCUCUAGCUGGCUCCUUGACUCUGGACAAGUCACUUCAUCUCUCCAAGCCUUGUCUAUAAAGUAGGGAUAAUACUCCUUCCCACUUCAGAGAGUCAUUCGGGGAUUAAACUGUGACAUGUAUGUAGCCAAGGGUCCAGCACACACUGACAACUCACCAAAUAUUAGCCAUCACUCCAAACUAAGAAGGCAGGAUUCCGGCUGGGCACGGUGGCUCACGCCUGUAAUCCCAGCACUUUGGAAGGCUGACGCAGGUGGAUCAUGAGGUCAAGAGAUUGAGACCAUCCUGGCCAACAUGGUGAAACCCCGUCUCUACUAAAAAUACAAAAAUUAGCUGGGCGUGGUGGUGCGUGCCUGUAGUCCCAGUUACAGGCUGGGAGGCUGAGGCAGGAGAAUCACUUGAACCUGGGAGGCGGAGGUUUCAGUGAGCCAAGAUUGUGCCAUUGCACUCCAGCCUGGCGACAGAGUGAGACAGAGUGAGACUCCGUUAAAAAAAUAAUAAUAAUAAAUAAGAAAAGAAGGCAAGAUUCCAUUAACUUCCAGAAGGUAGACUGUCUUAAAUAUUGGGCAAUUCCCUUUCCUCCUCUCGGCCUCAGCUUUCCCAUCUGAAAAAUGGGAGUAGGACAAGGGAACUGGAUCGCAGGCAUUGACAUAACUUUCUGUGGUUAUUAAAUAGGGCCCCACAAAGACAGUGUCGGGGACCAAGGAGCUCAGGCCGCCUGCCCCACCUUUGCCACCUGCAAGACUGUAUACUCCAGCCAGUAAGGACCUCACUGUUCUCACUCACUAGUGUGUCCUCAGUCCCAGCCCAGGGACUCUGGCUAGGGGCUGACACUUAAUAAAUCCAUGUGAAUGGAUGCAGGAACUCUGCUCCGAUCUGUUCUAUCUGCUUAGUUUUUGCAUACAAUUUUGUUUGAACAAAGAACCACGUGGUUUAUCUAUCAGUCAGGGCUCAGCAGGAAACACAUGGCACAUAUAUAAUUGGGAUAAUUUGAGGAGAGUUUAGUAAAGGAAUUGUUUACAAAGGUGUGGGCAGGGUGUAGGGAACCCACACAGGAGGGUAUAACUGGGGUCUAGUGUCAGCGGGCGCCAUCAUCAUUCCUAGGCCAGAUGAGGGAAGGUUAAGAGUUAAUGGCCGGGCGCAGUGGCUCAAGCCUGUAAUCCCAGCACUUUGGGAGGUCGAGGAGGGCGGAUCACAAAGUCAGGAGAUCGAGACCAUCCUGGCUAACAUGGUGAAACCCCGUCUCUACCAAAAAUACAAAAAAUUAGCCGGGCAUGGUGGCGGGCGCCUGUAGUCCCAGCUACUCGGGAGGCUGAGGCAGGAGAAUGGCGUGAACCCGGGAGGCGGAGCUUGCAGUGAGCCGAGAUCGCGCCACUGCACUUCAGCCCGUGUGACAGAGCGAGACUCCGUCUCAGAGAAAAAAAAAAAAAAAAAAAAGAGUUAAGGGGAGAAGGUGACGAGGUAGACAAGAUCCUUGGCUGAGACCUUCAGUGAAGGGAUGCAGCCAAUCCUCAGAGACCCUGGCAGGCAGGAGCAGGGGGAAUAAGUACGCUGACUCCAUCUCCCCUUCCCCUGAUUUCCUUCUGGGCCUCCAGUUGGCAGAACCAAAUCGGAAGGCGGAGGGCAAGACAGUCCAUUGAAGUCCACAUGGGGAGAAGGGUGGAGAGGCAAUGUGGGGGUUGCGGGGAGCACCAAAAGAAGAUGCCCGACAGAGAUGGCUAGCACCCCCGCCCCCACCGCACAACACACUCACGACACACUCACGACACACUCACGACACACUCACGACACACUCACAACACAGGACCAGAGAGCAGAUCUCUACUUUCUAAGGAUCUUUUCAGGUCUGACCUGCAGAUUCUUCCAUUUUAAAUCAAGGCUAAAAUAUAUUGAGGCUUACUGAGGUCUAGUGGCAGCUCGGAGUUAUCAGUGGGUUGGGUAGUGCUUGCUGCUCUGGAACUAAUGGCACAAUUUUAUUGCAUUUAGGUCAAAUUGUGCCUCAAUUCCAAUGUCGUAUUUUUGGGUCAUGGGUCUCCUCUCUCUUUCUUUUCUAAAUGUGCCCGAGUAUUCCUCCUGGUCCUUUGGGAUGCUGACAGAGGAGCAGAUAUGCAGCAUCUCUGCCAUGAUAUAAGGGCUGCUGCAGUGCACAACUGUCUCCCAAGAAGGUACCGCAGGGGUGUAAAACUUCUCCCUGCAUUGUCAACGCUGGUCUCCAUGGAUGUCUGCUGGCUUUUUCAAAAAUUCUUGUAGAACAGUGCUUCUCAUAUGGUGAUUUUGUCCCCCUUGCCCCAGGGGGACCUUUGGCCAUGUCUUGAGAUGUUUUUGGUUGCCGUGAUUGAGGAGGUGCUACCAGCGUCUGCUGGGCAGAGACCAGGGAUGCUGCUCCACAUCCCACAAUGCACAGGACAAUCUUCUCUACAGCAAUGAAUUAUCCAGUUCACAAUCUCAAUAGCACCAAUAUUGAGAAACCCUGUUGAAGAUGGAGACUAUCCACGGGGCAUUGAUCUUGGGGUCUCCCCCUUCCUGAAUACUUGAAGUCCCUCGGCAGACUCUUGGAUACCUCCAGCAAUGGGGAGCUCACCACCUGUUUUGAAGCCAGGCAGGUUUGGGCUCUUCUUGUAGCUGUGUGACUCUGGAUUUUCCCAUAGGUGGGAGUGGAUCCACCACCUUGAGCUUCAGUUUCCUCCAGUGCCAUGGGAUUAGCAGCAGCCCUGCCUCACAGAUUGCGUGAGGAUGAAAUGAGAUGAUGCUCCUGAGUUGGCUGGUGCAGUGCACGGUACACAGAGAGUGCUCAAUAAAUGUUCCCUGCUGUGAAU
rnacentral:lncRNA from 10 species